CUGUGGCGUAAUGAAUAGCACGUUGGACAUGUUAUCCAAGGGUCGUGGGUUCGAAUUCCACUUGAAAGG